rnacentral:rRNA from 1 species
CAGCCUGCCAGUGACUCUGUUCAACGGCCGCGGUAUCUAACCGUGCGAAGGUAGCGUAAUCACUUGUUCUUUAAAUAAGGACUAGUAUGAAUGGCAUCACGAAGGUUAUACUGUCUCCUUUCCAAAUCAAUGAAACUAAUCUUCCCGUGAAGAAGCGGGAAUAAAUUUAUAAGACGAGAAGACCCUAUGGAGCUUUAAACCUCUCAACAACUAUCUUUAUAUACACAUACUCCAGAGCAAUUAAAUUAACCCUGAUAACAUGUCUAUGAGGUUUUCGGUUGGGGUGACCGCGGAGCAAAACUCAUCCUCCGCAAUGAAUUAGAACCAUACUUCUAAACAAAGAAUAACAAUUCUAUGUAUCAAAAAACUGAUGACCCAACAUUUUGAUCAAUGAACCAAGUUACCCUAGGGAUAACAGCGCAAUCCAUCUCAAGAGCUCAUAUCAACAGAUGGGUUUACGACCUCGAUGUUGGAUCAGGGUAUCCCAGUGGUGCAGCCGCUACUAAAGGUUCGUUUGUUCAACGAUUAAAACCCUACGUGAUCUGA